AAAUUUGUUACAUAAGAGACAAUAUGGAGAAAUAGCAAAUUUAUUACAAGGAGUAAUGAAUGUGUUAGACCAUUUUCAGAAAUAUCUCUCAAUUUCUCAAAUAGGAAAUUUAGCUGAUAAAGUACAAAAAAUUCGGUCUGAGUUAGCUCAACAGAUCACUGCAGAUUUUCACAAUGCGUUUACUGGACCUACAUCAAAGACAUUUCUUCCAAACCAACAAUUAGCGGAAGCUUGUUUGGUUGUAUCUAUAUUGGAUCCAAAAGUCAAGUAAGU